rnacentral:lncRNA from 1 species
AUCGAUAUGAAACUUUGAUCAAAGAGUCCCAAACCAGUGGGACUCUUGACCCCGGUGCCCAAAAUGUGUUGUACUCGUGAUCAGAGAACCCUGAUUCUCGAUCACAGAGUCCCAGACAUGUAGAACUCUUCAUCAGCCAUCAGAUCAGAUAGAAAUCUCUAAUGUGUGUGACCCCACAGGUUCGAACCUAAGCUGGUAGCACAGGAACCAAUUCCUGUACUAAUUGAAGUGACCAUCUAGCAAUGGUACCCGACGUCCGGAUAGGUCGAAUAGUCACAAUCGCAAUAUUCAGAACCUACGUGAAUAUGGUUAUUAUAUAAUUCAUUGCUUUUGACCUCUGUGUAU